GCGGGAGUGCCCGAAAGGGAAUCGGAACACAGGUGCUGCAUGGCUGUCGUCAGCUCGUGUCGUGAGAUGUUGGGUUAAGUCCCGCAACGAGCGCAACCCUUAUCAUUAGUUGCUACGCAAGGGCACUCUAAUGAGACUGCCGGUGACAAACCGGAGGAAGGUGGGGAUGACGUCAAGUCCUCAUGGCCCUUAUGGGUAGGGCUUCACACGUCAUACAAUGGUCGGUACAGAGGGUUGCCAAGCCGCGAGGUGGAGCCAAUCCCAGAAAGCCGAUCGUAGUCCGGAUUGUUCUCUGCAACUCGAGAGCAUGAAGUCGGAAUCGCUAGUAAUCGCGGAUCAGCAUGUCGCGGUGAAUACGUUCCCGGGUCUUGUACACACCGCCCGUCACACCAUGGGAGUGGAAUCUGCCAGAAGUAGGUAGCCUAACCGCAAGGAGGGCGCUUACCGCGGUGGGUUUCAUGACUGGGGUGAAGUCGUAACAAGGUAGCCGUAGGGGAACC
rnacentral:rRNA from 1 species